GGUGAUCAGAAUGGUUGAGAAGAACUUCAUGAAGAGAUUUGUGAGGAAGUAUCAAAAUGAGGUUCCUGAUGCUGUUAGAGCGCACCAAGGGAAGAGAGAAUUUCAAGGGCUCCCCAUAGCCAUGGAAAUGUGACUACUUUGGAUAUAAUCAAAUGUGGCAUUGCCUAAAGAUCAUGAGUUCAGUUUUAGUUCAACAUGUCUGCAGUUGGACGUUUAUCUUCGUAUGUGUGGGUAAAACAUUUUGCGGAGUUGUUUCUGCUACUUUCUAUGGUGACCUGUCUGUGUUGUUCACUUUAGGAGAAGCAAACCCUGGCCUUAUUUGUUAGUGCAUUUCAGAUGUUGAGGCAUUCUGGCAUGUUUAGGUGUGGGAAGACUCUGUGGCCUCAUGUUCACAUAAAAUCUUUAUGUUUCUUUCUCUUUAGAUCUAAUGUAAAUCCACAAAUCCAAGCUU